CCCUACGCCACCACCACAGUGAACACUUCUCUGGAGCAUCCAGCCACAUGUAUGGCUCAUCCACAAACAACCAGAGGACUGAUUGGUGGUCCAUCUUCAGAAAGGGAAGGUCUCAGUUCUGGAUGGAGCUAUUUGCAGACCUAAGAGAUGCUGGAUACUUCAAUGGGGUCAUGAGCACCAGUGUCUACUGAGAUAUUGCUUUGGUGAUGUUAUCCAGAAGGACUUGGAUGAGUGUGUGAGAUUGUGGAACAGUCACAGGAUUCAGCCCUAAAGAACAGCAUCAUGUCCAGGAGGUGUGCCGAUGAGCUCUACUACUGACCACACAGGUUUGGCUCCAGACACUGUGGAUUUAAAAUUGAACAAGCUGAACUGAUGCCUGUCCCGAGGCUCGCCUGACAAGAGCUCCAUGUGAGGACGCCAGCAUGCAGGAGUAUCUGGACCUGGCCAUG